rnacentral:rRNA from 1 species
CUACGGGAGGCUCCAGUGGGGAAUAUUGCACAAUGGGCGCAAGCCUGAUGCAGCCAUGCCGCGUGUAUGAAGAAGGCCUUCGGGUUGUAAAGUACUUUCAGCGGGGAGGAAGGGAGUAAAGUUAAUACCUUUGCUCAUUGACGUUACCCGCAGAAGAAGCACCGGCUAACUCCGUGCCAGCAGCCGCGGUAAUACGGAGGGUGCAAGCGUUAAUCGGAAUUACUGGGCGUAAAGCGCACGCAGGCGGUUUGUUAAGUCAGAUGUGAAAUCCCCGGGCUCAACCUGGGUACUGCAUCUGAUACGGGCAAGCUUGAGUCUCGUAGAGGGGGGUAGAAUUCCAGGUGUAGGGGUGAAAUGCGUAGAGAGCUGGAGGAAUACAGGUGGCGAAGGCGGCCCCCUGGACGAAGACUGACGCUCAGGUGCGAAAGAGUGGGGAGCAAACAGGAUUAGAUACCCUGGUAGUC